rnacentral:rRNA from 1 species
GAUGAACGCUAGCGGCAGGCCUAACACAUGCAAGUCGAACGGUAACAGUUCCUUCGGGAAGCUGACGAGUGGCGCACGGGUGCGUAACGCGUAUGCAAUCUACCUUUUACAGGGGGAUAG